rnacentral:rRNA from 1 species
UACGUAGGGUGCAAGCGUUAAUCGGAAUUACUGGGCGUAAAGCGUGCGCAGGCGGUUGUGUAAGACAGAUGUGAAAUCCCCGGGCUCAACCUGGGAACUGCAUUUGUGACUGCACGGCUCGAGUGCGGCAGAGGGGGAUGGAAUUCCGCGUGUAGCAGUGAAAUGCGUAGAUAUGCGGAGGAACACCGAUGGCGAAGGCAAUCCCCUGGGCCUGCACUGGCGCUCAUGCACGAAAGCGUGGGGAGCAAACAGG